UGGCUCAGGACGAACGCUGGCGGCGUGCCUAACACAUGCAGGUCGAACGGAAUCCAUCGACUGAUCCCUUCGGGGUGACGUUGAGAAGAUUUAGUGGCGGACGGGUGAGUAACACGUGAGUAACCUGCCUCUCAGUGGGGAAUAACACAAGGAAACUUGUGCUAAUACCGCAUGAUGCAUUUUAACCGCAUGGUUUUAAUGCCAAAGCUUUAUGCGCUGAGAGAUGGGCUCGCGUCCGAUUAGAUAGUUGGUGAGGUAACGGCUCACCAAGUCGACGAUCGGUAGCCGGACUGAGAGGUUGAACGGCCACAUUGGGACUGAGACACGGCCCAGACUCCUACGGGAGGCAGCAGUGGGGAAUAUUGCGCAAUGGGGGAAACCCUGACGCAGCAACGCCGCGUGAAGGAAGAAGGUCUUCGGAUUGUAAACUUUUGUCUUCAGGGACGAAUUCUGACGGUACCUGAGGAGGAAGCUCCGGCUAACUACGUG
rnacentral:rRNA from 1 species